rnacentral:lncRNA from 1 species
AGCUGAGAUAAAAAACAAGAAAGAAUCAAGCAGAACUCAAAAGCCUUCCUAACAGAACUCAAAAUUUUCAUGCUACAGUGGAUAUCAAACUUUAUAAUAAAAUCAAGGUCGAGUUGAGAUAGAGACAACUCAAGGCAUAGGCCAUCAGGACAGUCAGCCACAAAAGGCCAACGCUACCAGAAGGCUAGAGGAAAUCAGAGGACUAACCUGAACAAAUCAAGAUUAAGCUAUCAAGCAAAAAACCAAUGACUAGGAGGAAGGAUUGAAGUUGAAGUAAAACCCAAUAAAGCCCAAGGUUGAUCUGUAAAGGCCAAGGAG